rnacentral:rRNA from 1 species
AGGACGAACGCUGGCGGCGUGCUUAACACAUGCAAGUCGAACGAGGUGCUUGCACCUAGUGGCGAACGGGUGAGUAACACGUGAGCAACCUGCCCUUGGCUCUGGGAUAGCCUCCGGAAACGGGGAUUAAUACCGGACAUGACCUUCUCCUGCAUGGGGGAGGGUGGAAAGUUUUUCGGCCAGGGAGGGGCUCGCGGCCUAUCAGCUUGUUGGGGGGGUAACGGCCCACCAAGGCGACGACGGGUAGCCGGCCUGAGAGGGCGACCGGCCACACUGGGACUGAGACACGGCCCAGACUCCUACGGGAGGCAGCAGUGGGGAAUAUUGCACAAUGGGGGAAACCCUGAUGCAGCGACGCCGCGUGCGGGAUGAAGGCCUUCGGGUUGUAAACCGCUUUCAGCGAGGGGCGAAUCAAGACGGUACCUGCAGAAGAAGCGCCGGCUAACUACGUGCCAGCAGCCGC